rnacentral:rRNA from 1 species
GACGAACGCUGGCGGCGUGCUUAACACAUGCAAGUCGAACGGAAAGGCCCCCUUGUGGGGUACUCGAGUGGCGAACGGGUGAGUAACACGUGAGUAACCUACCCUUGACUUUGGGAUAACUUCAGGAAACUGGGGCUAAUACCGGAUAGGAGCUCCUGCUGCUUGGUGGGGGUUGGAAAGUUUCGGCGGUUGGGGAUGGACUCGCGGCUUAUCAGCUUGUUGGUGGGGUAGUGGCUCACCAAGGCUUUGACGGGUAGCCGGCCUGAGAGGGUGACCGGCCACAUUGGGACUGAGAUACGGCCCAGACUCCUACGGGAGGCAGCAGUGGGGAAUAUUGCACAAUGGGCGGAAGCCUGAUGCAGCAACGCCGCGUGCGGGAUGACGGCCUUCGGGUUGUAAACCGCUUUCGCCUGUGACGAAGCGUGAGUGACGGUAAUGGGUAAAGAAGCACCGGCUAACUACGUG